rnacentral:rRNA from 1 species
CCGCUUCCGCAGCGUACACAUGCAGUCGAGCGGAUGAAGGGAGCUUGCUCCUGGAUUCAGCGGCGGACGGGUGAGUAAUGCCUAGGAAUCUGCCUGGUAGUGGGGGAUAACGUCCGGAAACGGGCGCUAAUACCGCAUACGUCCUGAGGGAGAAAGUGGGGGAUCUUCGGACCUCACGCUAUCAGAUGAGCCUAGGUCGGAUUAGCUAGUUGGUGGGGUAAAGGCCUACCAAGGCGACGAUCCGUAACUGGUCUGAGAGGAUGAUCAGUCACACUGGAACUGAGACACGGUCCAGACUCCUACGGGAGGCAGCAGUGGGGAAUAUUGGACAAUGGGCGAAAGCCUGAUCCAGCCAUGCCGCGUGUGUGAAGAAGGUCUUCGGAUUGUAAAGCACUUUAAGUUGGGAGGAAGGGCAGUAAGUUAAUACCUUGCUGUUUUGACGUUACCAACAGAAUAAGCACCGGCUAACUUCGUGCCAGCAGCCGCGGUAAUACGAAGGGUGCAAGCGUUAAUCGGAAUUACUGGGCGUAAAGCGCGCGUAGGUGGUUCAGCAAGUUGGAUGUGAAAUCCCCGGGCUCAACCUGGGAACUGCAUCCAAAACUACUGAGCUAGAGUACGGUAGAGGGUGGUGGAAUUUCCUGUGUAGCGGUGAAAUGCGUAGAUAUAGGAAGGAACACCAGUGGCGAAGGCGACCACCUGGACUGAUACUGACACUGAGGUGCGAAAGCGUGGGGAGCAAACAGGAUUAGAUACCCUGGUAGUCCACGCCGUAAACGAUGUCGACUAGCCGUUGGGAUCCUUGAGAUCUUAGUGGCGCAGCUAACGCGAUAAGUCGACCGCCUGGGGGAGUACGGCCGCAAGGUUAAAACUCAAAUGAAUUGACGGGGGCCCGCACAAGCGGUGGAGCAUGUGGGUUUAAUUCGAAGCAACGCGAAGAACCUUACCUGGCCUUGACAUGCUGAGAACUUUCCAGAAAAUGGAUUGGUGGCCUUCGGGAACUCAGACACAGGUGCUGCAUGGCUGUCGUCAGCUCGUGUC